rnacentral:rRNA from 1 species
GAUGAACGCUAGCGGCAGGCCUAACACAUGCAAGUCGAGGGGCAUCACGGAUUGCUUGCAAUCUGGUGGCGACCGGCGCACGGGUGCGUAACGCGUAUACAACCUACCUUUUGGAGGGGAAUAGCCCAGAGAAAUUUGGAUUAAUACCCCAUAGUAUAUAGGAAUCUCCUGAUUUUUAUAUUAAACAUUUAUGGCCAUUAGAUGGGUAUGCGUCCUAUUGGCUAGUUGGUGUGGUAACGGCACACCAAGGCUACGAUAGGUAGGGGUCCUGAGAGGGAGAUCCCCACACUGGUACUGAGACACGGACCAGACUCCUACGGGAGGCAGCAGUGAGGAAUAUUGGACAAUGGGCGAGAGCCUGAUCCAGCCAUGCCGCGUGCAGGAAGACUGCCCUAUGGGUUGUAAACUGCUUUUACAGAGGAAGAACCACCCCCACGUGUGGGGGUUUGACGGUACUCUGCGAAUAAGGAUCGGCUAACUCCGUG